UAGGGAAUCUUCCGCAAUGGGCGAAAGCCUGACGGAGCAACGCCGCGUGAGUGAAGAAGGAUUUCGGUUCGUAAAGCUCUGUUGUUAGGGAAGAAUGAUUGUGUAGUAACUAUACACAGUAGAGACGGUACCUAACCAGAAAGCCACGGCUAACUACGUGCCAGCAGCCGCGGUAAUACGUAGGUGGCAAGCGUUGUCCGGAAUUAUUGGGCGUAAAGCGCGCGCAGGUGGUUUAAUAAGUCUGAUGUGAAAGCCCACGGCUCAACCGUGGAGGGUCAUUGGAAACUGUUAAACUUGAGUGCAGGAGAGAAAAGUGGAAUUCCUAGUGUAGCGGUGAAAUGCGUAGAGAUUAGGAGGAACACCAGUGGCGAAGGCGGCUUUUUGGCCUGUAACUGACACUGAGGCGCGAAAGCGUGGGGAGCAAACAGGAUUAGAUACCCUGGUAGUCCACGCCGUANACGAUGAGUGCUAAGUGNUGGUCUCAUAAGAGAUCAGUGCUGCAGCUAACGCAUUAAGCACUCCGCCUGGGGAGUACGUCCGCAAGGNUG
rnacentral:rRNA from 1 species